UUUUUUUUUUUAAACAUGAAUUUAUUUUAAUUCCUUCUGUGUAGUUGCUUUCUGGUUAGAUCCUCAGUAUAUACACAAAGCAAACUGAGAAUUACACGUCAGUGAUACUUUUGUGUUCAGAGUUUUUUUUCAUCUUUUAUAUAUAGAACUUGCUGUCAGUCUUUACUACCACUAGGAAAACUUCUUUCAGGAUGGACAGAUUGAAUCAAACCUCAAAUCUGCUUUGCUGGAGGGCUUAAUGUACUGUUAGGGAGCAUAUAGGAGAGUUUAAGAUAAUUUAAGGAGAAUUUAAGAGUUGUGCUUAAGACCAAGCUUCAAGUAUUUGAAUGUAUGGUUGAACUGCAGCCAAGAAACUUAUUCAUAAUUCACCCAUAGAGUCUGGCCCACUUAAUGGCAAACAUUGAAAGGGUAUUGUAGAGCUGGCACUGUAAUUUUUUGCUCUGUGCGACCUUUUCACCAAGAUCUUCAUGCAUCUCAAUUACUAUUCAUAAUCACAGAAUUAAAAACUAGCUGAUAAGCUAAUAUAUGUUUUUAAUUAGUAAUAAGUAAGUAUGAGCAAAAGUUGUCUGAUGAAAUAUUUUUCUAUAGGAGAAAGAUGAUUUGUCAGAAACAAGACAUUCAUAGAACUACUUAUCUCAUUGUAUAAGCUAGAGUCUUGAAGAGAUAAAAAGGAUAGUUGCCAGGAACACAAACUAAAUAUGGCUAUAUUUAUGCUCUGAUAACCUGAAUACCUUAUGAAGGACCCAAAAUUCUACUCUGUUUCCUUUCAUUUUUACUUUUUGAAUCCAAAUCUGUAAUGAUGAAAUGUACCAUCCAAGUUUUCAAAAAUCUCCAUGAACUUAACUUUGUCUUGCUUCUUUGAUGCAGCCUGAUUAUUCAGAGCUACUCUGUUUUCUCCCUCAGUUUAUAGGCCAACACUCCAUACAUCAGAAGGUUGCAUGGCUUUUCACGCUGCUCCAUCUAUUUAUUGCUUGCUUUUAUAUGGCACUUCCUCUUUAAACCGUUUGCCAAGAUCUGUUUCAUCUUUGUCUAUUAAAACCCUAUUUUAGGGAUACAAGUGUGGAAUAGCUUAAUUCCAGCUUAAGCACCAACCUUUUUGGACUUCACAAUUUAAAAGAUUUGGCUGGUUUAUAUGCAAUAUGCAAUCUGUUAAGUGUUAUCAGAGCACAUGUAACUGAUUAGGAUGCAUUUAAGCAAAAAAACCCCACCAAAACAAAGAA
rnacentral:lncRNA from 1 species